GGGAGAUGAUUGUUAUACAGGGAUGUGUUCAUAAUAAUGCGGACAGUAAAUACUAUUUGCCACUUAAGGAACCGUCUGAAUUUUCCACCCACAGUCCAAAAACAAUCAUGGUGACUGUGUGUGGUACCAUUCAGGUCAGGUUGGAGUAACCGACGGCCUUUUCAGAGGCUGCCACUGCACCUCAAGCAUUGAGGCAGUCCUGCUGCAACUGGAUCAAGUUUACUGGAAAAGUAACCCACAGGUCUUAACCUGUCACCAUGAGCAUGCAAGAACACGGUUGUCAUAAACCCAUUUUUCUCAUCGACCA